rnacentral:rRNA from 1 species
AUUGAACGCUGGCGGCAGGCCUAACACAUGCAAGUCGGGCGAACGGCGGACGGGUGAGGAAUGGAUGGGGAUCUGCAUGAUGUAGGGGGAUAAAGACUGGAAACGGUAGCUAAAACUGCAUACCAUCAGAUGAACUCAUAGUGGAUGAGCUGGUAGGGAAGGUAACGGCUUACCUGGGCGACGAUCCCUAGCUGGUCUGAGAGGAUGAUCAGCCACACUGGGACUGAGACGCGGCCCAGACUCCUACGGGAGGCAGCAGUGGGGAAUAUUGCACAAUGGGCGCAAGCCUGAUCCAGCCAUGCCGCGUGUAUGAAGAAGGUCUUCGGGUUGUAAAGUUCUUUCAGUCGGGAGGCGUUACCUACAGAAGAAGCCCCGGCUAACUCCGUGCCAGCCGCCGCGGUAAUUC